UUAACAGUGAAAUUGGAAAUGGUAUUUUAAUUUAUUGAAAAAAAAGUACAUAGUAUAAUAGUGUAAUAAAAUAUAAUAGUAAAUUAAUUUGUUUUCAGACAAGGCCUUUGAUGACUUUCAAUCUAUAGAGAUACAGGAUAUGGAAGUGGAUCAAACUGAAAAAGAGAAUAAGUGGUCUUCAUGGAAGCCAAAGGCUUUAAAAACUAAGAUUAGUCCAUACUUGAAAAGUAAUCAAAAAAUUACUAAAGUUGGAGUGACUGCAAAACUGGACCAUUUAACUGAAUCUCGCUUAGAGCUAGUGAAGCUCCAGAAGGAAAUUGCCAUAAAAGAGCAUGAGUUUGUCAAACAGGCACACUUAUUAAAAAUGCAGAACCUGCAUAAUGAUGAAAGAAGGAAGCAGGAAAUGCAUGAAGUACUAUUAAGUAAGCUCCGUACUGGUGUAAAUUAUGGAACAAGUCCUUUAGAAAUAAUAAAUAAAGAUUUAUAAAAUGUU